GCCGGUNGUGGUGGCGCACGCCGGUAGGAUUGUGCUGAGGAGGCAGAGGCAGGAGGAUCUGGAGGUCGAGGCCAGCGUGGGCUACAUAGCACUUU
rnacentral:snRNA from 1 species